rnacentral:rRNA from 1 species
CGGACCGGCGCACGGGUGCGUAACGCGUAUGCAACCUACCCAUAACAGGGGGAUAACACUGAGAAAUUGGUACUAAUACCCCAUAACAUCAGGACCGGCAUCGGUUCUGGUUGAAAACUCCGGUGGUUAUGGAUGGGCAUGCGUUGUAUUAGCUGGUUGGUGAGGUAACGGCUCACCAAGGCGACGAUCAGUAGCCGGCCUGAGAGGGUGAACGGCCACAUUGGGACUGAGACACGGCCCAA